GUGUUGUGUGAAAGGGGAGUAGAUACUGAGCACACUCCUUCAGGAGGAUGGAUGAGGCCCUUAGGCCUAAUAACAUGCACCAGUAAGGCAUUGCCAUUGACUUUGUGGUGUUUAACCACUGCCUUUU